UGACUAAGCGUACACGGUGGAUGCCUUGGCAGUUGGAGGCGAUGAAGGACGUAUUAACUUGCGAUAAGCCUAGUCAAGCUAGUAAAAAGCACUUGAGACUAGGAUUUCCGAAUGGGGAAACCCACCUGCUUGCAGGUAUCGUUAACUGAAUACAUAGGUUAACGAGGCGAACGCGGAGAACUGAAACAUCUAAGUACCCGUAGGAAAAGAAAUCAACCGAGAUUCCGAUAGUAGCGGCGAGCGAAAUCGGAUUAGCCCAAACCAGUAU
rnacentral:rRNA from 1 species